rnacentral:rRNA from 1 species
UACGAAGGGGACUAGCGUUGUCCGGAAUCAUUGGGCGUAAAGCGCGCGUAGGCGGCCCGGUAAGUCCGUUGUAAAAGUCGAAGGCUCAACCUUCGAAAGCCGAUGGAUACUGCCGGGCUAGAGUACGGAAGAGGCGAGUAGAAUUCCUGGUGUAGCGGUGGAAUGCGCAGAUAUCAGGAGGAAUACCCCAUAGCGAAGGCAGCUCGCUGGGACGUUACUGACGCUGAGGCGCGAAAGCGUGGGGAGCGAACAGG